CAUAAUAUUAUGACAUUAUUCUGUAAAUCUCAGCUUUUUUCCCCCUCAUUGUGGCCCUAAUACUCACACAAUACAUUUGCACUAUGGGCCCUCACUGCAUUAGACUUAUAUACUAAAUACUUAGACUAUAAACUGUCAUCACAAUGCUCAAAUGUUUUGUCUAAAAUGUCUCUUUUGAUAGUAAAGCUUGCUGACCCCUGGUCUAUACUUGUAGGUCAGUACAGCACCAAGUGUUAGAGGUUAGAGGUGCUCCUUUAAAAAUAGGGAAUUUUGACAGAGCAACAUCAUUGUGCCAGAAAUACCAAAACGCCCUAACUUCUUCUUCUUCUACGGAAACUCUCCUGCAUGUUUCUUGAUGGUGCUAUGUGCUAGCCAGCCUCCAGGACCUUCAGUCUGUCUGUCUGUCUGUCUGUCGCUUGUAAUGUAUCGUUUCCUCUCUCUGUCCUCAUUCGAACGUUAUGUUGCAACAUUGUUGCUUCUCUCUACAUUACCAGGCCUCUCUGUCUUGCUGCCAAAGGGACUUUUAGUUACUUUUCUCUCGCUUCCACAUCGAGUCUCUUCUGCUGACGUCAAGGACUUUCUUCUUCCUCGACUGACUGACUGGUGGAAACUUUUCAAACUGUUUCAUAAAACAAUAACUGACCUGCUGAGUGAGUGAAUCCUUCUCCCUCCAACGGCCCAACCAGGAAUAGUUGAAGCUUUAAGUACUCUGAUGAUACAACUGGAACUGCAGUGAGGGGGCACUAGGACCAUGAAGAGGCAUUAGCCAAUCAGGAUCUUAUGUAACCACUGGGGAUCCUGCUGAACGGCACCACAAGUUAAAAGUGUUCUCUCCAGAGAAGGCUCACGGCCGAUGGACUUGAAGAGGUCACCAGUGUGUUCACACGGCCCUGAGUGCAUGAGGGCACAUCACAUGUUACCUGGGUAGUUUACAGUAGUAAAUGUGUGGGUGGUGAGGUGAAGUCUCUUCUGCAAAAUACACAAUAGUUUCUUUCUUUUCAUGUGGGUUUGUUUAUAAUUUCCUCUAUAAUCUUCUGGCUUUGGCCAUGGGGGGGAUGAUGUUGCAAGUAAGCGAUAUGGU